GACGGGCCCGCACAAGCAGCGGAGCGUGUGGUUAAUUCGAUGUUACACGAAGAACCUUACCAGGGUUUGACAUGCAAGUGGUAGGAAGCCGAAGGUGACCGACCUUCGGGGAGCUUGCACAGGUGCUGCAUGGCUGUCGUCAGCUCGUGUCGUGAGAUGUUCGGUUAAGUCCGCUAACGAGCGCAACCCUCGCUGUGUGUUAUAUGUGUCACACGGGACUGCCGGUCUUAAGCCGGAGGAAGGUGGGGAUGACGUCAAGUCAGCAUGGCCCUUACAUCCUGGGCUACACACACGCUACAAUGGGUGAUACAACAGGUUGCAAUAGAGUAAUCUGGAGCCAAUCCCUAAAAUCAUCCUCAGUACGGAUUGCAGGCUGCAACUGCCUGCAUGAAGUUGGAGUUGCUAGUAAACGCAGGUCAGCACACUGCGUUGAAUACGUUCUCGGGCCUU
rnacentral:rRNA from 1 species